rnacentral:rRNA from 1 species
UACAGAGACUGCAAGCGUUAUUCGGAUUCACUGGGCGUAAAGGGUGCGCAGGCGGUUGGGUGUGUCAGAUGUGAAAUCCCGAGGCUUAACCUCGGAACUGCGUCUGAAACUACUCGACUAGAGUACUGGAGAGGGAAACGGAAUUCACGGUGUAGCAGUGAAAUGCGUAGAUAUCGUGAGGAACACCAGUGGCGAAGGCGGGUCUCUGGACAGUUCCUGACGCUGAGGCACGAAGGCCAGGGGGAGCAAACGGG